rnacentral:rRNA from 1 species
AUGAAGAGCCUCUCAUUGUACUUCUUGCUCCUCGUUUCUGUGGCGGCACUGCCACUGCACGCCAGUGCCUCGCAGGAGGCGCGGCUGAGAGAGUUCACCUCGUCCAGAAGAGGCAGUGUUAGCAGCACCGACACGUUUAGGGUGCGUAACAUAGCGGACAGGGUUGCCGGCAGCCUGAGCGCAGGGAGCUCUGUCUCCGACCAGAGCUCCAUGAAGGCCGCCGACAAGAUCACGGCGCUGCCCGGGCAGCCGGAGGGCGUUGACUUCAACCAGUACGGCGGGUACGUGACCGUCGACGAGGAGAACGGCCGCGCGCUCUUCUACUACCUCGUCGAAUCGCCCUCCGGUGCUUCCGAGAAGCCGCUCGUCCUGUGGCUCAACGGAGGGCCAGGAUGCUCUUCCCUCGGCUUUGGAGCGAUGCAGGAGCUCGGCCCCUUCCGCGUAGCCGAAGACAACAAAACGCUCAGCAGAAACAUCAACGCCUGGAACAACGUGGCUAACGUGAUCUUCCUCGAGUCGCCCGCUGGCGUCGGGUUCUCCUACUCGAACACGUCUUCGGACUAUGACCUAAGCGGAGACGAGAGAACCGCCGACGACGCGUACGUCUUCCUGGUGAAAUGGCUGGAGAGGUUCCCGGAGUACAAGGACCGCGCCUUUUACAUCUCUGGCGAGAGCUUCGCCGGCCACUAUGUGCCAGAGCUCGCCGCCACCAUCCUGCUCCACAACACAUACAACAACAGAACCAUAGUAAACCUACAAGGCAAUGGUCGGGAACCCGUAUCUGGACGAGAAGAGGAACAUCCAGGGGGCCAUCGACUUCGUCUGGACCCAUGA